rnacentral:sRNA from 1 species
UAGAAUUCUAGCAACUUGCUUGGGGGUGAGGAGUUAAGAUGGCGGCCAUUAUACAUGGCUAACUUGUAAAUACUAAAUCACACACGUGUCGACACAUUCUCCGGGGUGCCUCUAGAAGGUCGGAGAUAUGGGAUACGUGGAGGUCUAACC